CUUCCUGCAAUCUGUUACCUCCCUCCAGGAUCCAGUAUUUCUGCAUCUUUUCCUUCCUUUAUUUGAUUGUACUCUGUAUCAUCUUCUUCCUGGGGUCAAAGCUUACUAGAAUUAGUCACAGUACCUGCAAGAAGCAGGUAAGUUUCAUACACCUUUCAUUAUGUUGUUCUAGAGCAUGGCUUUGAUAACUGAUGCUGCAAGUGAGACUGUUCCAGCAGCUGUUGCCAACAGUGCCCCUGGGAGACUUGGCCUUAUGUUUAGCUCAUUUGUGCCUCUCUGGUGACUAAGUGUUCUUCUUGACCUGAUUUGGACAGUCUGAUAGUAUUCAGCAGUUUUCUUCAUUUUUGCCUUUGUUGCUAUCAUCUGUCUAUGGUUACAUAAAACAAUGAUACCAUACUGCAAAUUGGCUUUUACUUGAUGGGAUUUCAGAUCUUGCUUGCUGUGUGCAGAAACUUCAGGUCCUUCGGUUUUGUGUUGGAGCUUCACUUGGCGUUCUCGCUCAAAGACUUUCAGAUCAGAUCAAACCCGUACCUGUUCUGAUGGGCAACAGCAUCACUUGGGGAUUUAUUUAAUGCAUCAGUCUCUCUGCAUUGUACUGUUAUCUGUUUCACUGGAUGAUGUUUUAACCUGCUUCAGCAUAGCCAGCAUCAUUUCCUAUCUCUUAGUCUUCGCAAUUGCUUUUUGGACUGGAACUAAUACCAACAUUACUUUUCCAUUGCUUUAUGAGAGCCUGGGGGAGGUCAUAAAGUAUUUCCAUGUUCUGUUAGAUACUAAAAACAAUUGAAUUAAUAUGACAUGUAUCAUGACAAAAUAGUUUAUAUGUUAAACUUCAUCAUGCUGCUGCUUGUAAGAUCUGCCAUCAAUAGCUUAUCAGAGCUCUGGCUGGCGUGAUUUAGCUUUCAUGGGUUGGCAACUGUGACCAUGUAGUUCUCAACCUCACACCUGUAGAGAUUUCUCCCAACUUUUUCCAAAAACUAGGCUGCGAUUUCUCAAGUCUGAAAAGUUUCCUUCUGUGGAUGAUUGAAGACAGACACCUUCACACACCUUGCACAUUUCUCUGCAUGUUUUCAGCUAGGUUUUCAUGCUAAAACUCAAGGCUCCUGGAUCGUUUCUGACAUAGUGGUAUCUCUAGGUGUGAAAUACGCAGCUAUUAAAUCUUGUCAGCUCUUGAAUCUGCCAAAUCUACUAUCACUUAAAGAUUCUCUUAAAGAUUCACAUAUCCACCCACAGUACACCACUUUGAUGAUAUAAGAAAGUAACUUCGUGUGAGAAACUUGUCUUGGGUUCUGGCCAGUGCUGAAGCUCGAAUUACAUACUGUCUGGUGUAACUCAUCUUCACUAGGUUGACUAGAACUGCUCAUCAGAGAUGAAAAUACAAUGCAGUAUAUUAGUAUGACUUGCACUGCAUUUUAUAGUGCCCUGAUGCUUUGGCCUGCUUGGAGUUUCUACCACUGAUAAUAACUUUCCUUAUGACAGAUAUCAGAGCAAUAUAGCCUUAAAAACAGGCAUUACAUUCACUUGGUUGUAGUUAGCAAAGGUUACUUGAGAUUUCUCCUUUACUAAUUUGUGUCAGGUUUGUCUAUCUUCCCAAUGAGUUUCGGGAAAAAUCUCAUUCUGAAAACCAUAGCCAUGAACACUUCUUCUAUUAGAGUGUAACUCCACUCUGACCAUCACAGUUAGAAAAUCCUUUAAUUAAAAGGCAAAAUAAAAUUCUAGAAGUGUAAGAAAUUCAGGAAACACUUUCAGGUUUAUUUAAAACUUUUAUUUUUCCUAUUGCAUAGAAUACAAUUUUGUUUUCUCCUGUUCUUGAUUUUUUUCACUUUUGACCUUUUGAAUUUUUUCUACAUUCUACCAGCAUCACAGUUUUGACCAUCAUUUUAUCUUUCCUUGUCAGUUCACUUUGAUAUUUGGAGGUGUAGAUCUCUUUCUUUCAGCAGCCGCUCCUACAGAGGUUGACAUAACUCACAAAUUACCGUGUUCCUUAUUUUCAAGUUUUUGUCCUUGGUUUUCAACGUGGAUAGCAUAAUGCCAAACUCUGAAGCCCAUCCACUGUCUCUCCUGCUUCUUGGUUACAGUUUCAAAAGAUAAGGCAAAACAGCAACCCAUUUCUCUCUCUGCAGUCUCUCUCAUUAGAACAUUUCUGCAGCUGAUGCAGUGUUCUGAGGAUUCUUCUUAAGACUCUAAAGCCAUUAUUUAUUUUUUUUAAACUUCACCAUCCGAUCUUUAACCUCCAUGGGCAUAUCUGUGUUACAAAGUGAGCUUUUGUUCCUAUAAUUGUGCAGCAUUCUGUUCGGCAGUACCAGUGUUCACAGAAGUCUCAGUCCCUACAUGCCAUUCGUUCUGCUUCUCAUACCUGUUUUGUUUCCCCAUGAAUCACCCUGUCCUCUUUGCAGGUCUUACUAGACUGAAUGGUGCCUAACAGCUAGUAAAGUAGCACAGGACAUUUCCUACUGCCACAGUUUCACUGAAUACUGAUAAAACCAGGACAACUAUUAAAAAAAAAAAAAAAAGGUAUUUUAUUUAAAACGUUGAUUUGCUAUAGCUUCAGUUCAAAUAAGUCAAGCACAAAAGCCUCUGAACACCUUCUUCUUACAUUGCCCUCCAUUAGGCCUUGCUGUCACCUUCACAGAGGCUGCAGUAAGCCCCAGAGCUGGUUGGCUCUGUACCCGUGGGCCAGUGCUGCAGUUUUCUUUAGGCUGGAUAGUCCAGUGAUUCCAGACAUCAGUUCCAUGUUUAUUUCCUGAUCCCAUUAACUGACAUGCAAAUCUUGUCGUACAGUAAUUGCAGUCUAAUUAACAUUUCUUUCCAUCUGUGCUCAGCUAUAGAUUAGACCAUGGGCUCGUUUGCUUAGCCAAGCCUUCAACCUGCCUUGACACUCCCUCUUCCAAGGACAAACUGGUUCCAUGACAGCACUACCACAACAUAGGGGAAAAUUCUGUUUACAUAAAAUGUUUAAAUUCAUUUAAAAUUAAAAUAACAAAGAAAGCAUCUGGGCAUACACAAGGGUAGUCAUUUUGAAGGACAAGAGGUGUAAACAUUAGGAUACAGCUUAGAGGUGCGCUGUGUCACCAAGUCUACCAAACGCAGUUUCUGUAUAAGAGAAUUUUGCCAAGAGCUCUGCAGUGAUUUUGUCAGAUAAAAGAUGGUAAGAUAAAGUCUGUGUAGAUAUUCUUUAAAGAUCAAUGUAAUGCUUCUUAUUUUAGUCUACAGUUGUCAAAAAUUUAUACUGUACCUCAUGCCAAAACGUACACUGUAGUGUUACAAAACACCAUCAUGUUCUAUGUGGCAUGGGUAUUUGUUGAGUAACUUUUCAGAGGAUUGCAGUGUAUAAACUAGAGACUGUUUGUGGAGUUUGGCCGUUAAUCAGGAUUGUAUAUUUGUAAUACUUAGGCAUGCAUGGAGGAAUAAAUACACUGAAAUAGUGAGAGGGAUCUUGAAUUUAAUUUGAUCGUGUUUCAUGGCAUAAUAUCAAACAGCUAGAAGCUCUGGAGUUGGGAGAAGACUCUUGUAGGGAAACUUAAUUGUUUGUGGCUUCAGGUUCCAGAUAAUGACCUGGUCUAGAUUUCAAACGGAUGUAUUAAUUUAUGAAAUACACAGUGUGGAGCACAUUGUUCCAAACUGACAGAGUAAGGACAUGUACUCUGGCAGAACAAACUGUACCACAAGCUGUACCAAAAUGAAGUGUCACACAGUUACUCUAACUUCCCAUGAAGAAAUUCAAGGUGGGAUUUUACACUGAGCUGAAAAUCUCAUUUUAAUAUCUAUUUAAAGUUGUUAACCAGAUUCUAUUGGCAGCUAGAGCUCAAAACACACUAAAAUAAACUGUCCUUCAUUGGUUUCCAGAUGCAGAGCAUUAUACCCAAAAGCAACGGCAAUCCAAAAUUUAAGAAUUCCAAACCUGAUGGGAAGAUUUUUCCCUUGUGAGAACUUGGUAUAGGUACAUACGUAUGUAGCCACAAAGCAACCAUGUGUGUCCAUUUUUAAAGAUGGAGUUUGAUUUCCAAAUACACAAUUGACAAAAUAGCAUAAAUACCUGAAUUCUUUAUCAAGUAGUAAUUUAAAAGUAUACAUUUCUCUCAGGCAUAUGGAUUUUCUUAUAGAUAAAAGAAGAAAAAACUGGAGGGUAAGAAGCAUGGGGUAAAAAAACCCUUGAAUUUAAAUAUUUUAAAUAUAAUAAGAUUGCUUUUGCAGUACCUUAAGGAGGUAGGAUUGAUGGCAACAUAGAUUUGUCCACAUAUUCAUUUAUAGAUGACUUGUCCAGCAUUGUCCUCAUUACCAAGCAAAUAUGCUACAUUUGCACAUUCACGUUAAUUAUUUUCUGCUCUGUUCUGCUGGACUAAACUCAACUCUGUAGAUUAGUUCAAAUGUAUUGUAGGUUACUCAUUAAAAAACCAAUACUAUAGACUUGAUUUAAAGUACAUUUCAGUGCAGAGAUUUUAUAAAUAACUAUUGCUUAAUUCAACGAUGUGGGGAAAGUUUACGUUAUAUGCAUAGACAUUUUUACACAGAUUCUGUGGAAGCACACCAAUAAGGAAGUCAUUGUCAUCAGUGUCAUAGAUUGUUAAAUGCAGUAGCAUAAGGGAACAAACAUGAAUUAAAUAAUUAAAAACCCUCUUAAGGUAUAAAUUAAAUAAUUAAAGACCAUCAUAAGUUAUUGCAAUAAAUCAAUGCAAUUAAAAUCACAAGCAAUGCAGGCAGGCCAGAUGCCAAAGAUCCUGCAGCGUCUCUUUGGCUGCAUUUCAAAUCUGUGUCAUGAGUCCAAAAACACAGACAAAAGUACAGUGAACAAGAGGAAAGUAUCUGGUCUUCUCUUCUGCAGUGACUUUGCUUUGCUCACUUGCUAUAGCAGACUCACUUAGCAUGUCACCUUACUGAUAACUGUGAUCUUUUCCCAGGUGAUAUUGGCCUGUGGCUGGCUCACUGGCCACCUGUCAUAUCUUUCCCUUAUAGACUGUGAAAAAAUUAUUCUUUAUGUAUAAUGUUACUAUACAUUUAAUGCUCUUAAACUCUCCUCACAUAUUUUCUAAGCCUUUUGUCUUUCUGUAUAGUAUAAAUGUAGCUUUUGGCUCUUCCCUUCCCACUUUCAUCCUGUGUCUUUUUGAAAAGCCUCCUCCAUAUGUUCAUUUGGUCUAUUCACUCCACACUGUGAGCACAAAGAGCACACUGAAUACCACAAAAGAAGUUGUGAAAAUUAAGUCAGCUAGUAUACUGAUUUGUACUAAGUUGUGCAAACUGGUACAGACCUAUCUAUGUGCUUGUAAUUUACUUCAAGUUCCACAGUGCUCUGAAAGAGGAAUGCAAUUUUCCCAAAAUUGUAUGACCUUCCCAGAAACAGUUUAUGCAUGUGAAUGACACUGUUGAUUUUGUUCUUGUGGGUUUCUGUUGUUUUUUAUUGGUUUUGUUAGUCUCUGUUUGCAAGUAAAUAAAGCUGCAAGGUUUGUCUUGAUUUUGUAUCUACACUCAACACGGGAUGGUCUCUUGUCAGUUUCUUUUUAAAAAUUGAUUGCUUUCAAGUUUUUUGCGUUUCUUCCUUUAUAAAUACCUAUGAGAUCUCAUCUAGACAAUAUGUUCAGCCUCUACCCUGAAGCCAGAAGUCCUUUAUCUAUCGUUUCUGAGGAGUAAGGGGAAGAAGACUGAACAUUAAUUUUCCAGAAAUCCAAACUCUGUACGUGGCAGUGCCUCCUCCAGCAUAUAUCUCAUGAGCAGCACUGCCUGGCUGUGGAGAGGUGAAAAAAGGUUCUGUACAUUCUGCACUGCUUCACAUUACACCUCACAAGAGGCAGUCCAAUGCAGAAUGGAGACUCAUUUUUCUUUUCUUUGUCAUUCCAUAAAAUGUAUUCCUAGGAAUGUAUGAGAUUGUGGGUAAGACUAAUCAUGGCAUGCAAGAAAAGGCAAUGGUGUUUGUAAUGUUACUUGUUUUCCUCCAUCCCACAAACCAAAAUACUGCAGACAAGUGCUUUAGCUCCACCUAGGAGGCAAAAAGACUAUUGCUGCAUCUACCUAAAAUCAAAUUCCACUGACAUUUUUCUCAGCUUUUAACUGCAUUUUAGAGGCUCUAACAAAUUAAUUUUGCUAUGUAUCUCCAAGUCAGACUGACAUUUUCUAUCUAAGUGGAUGACAUUCUGCAAGGCAGAGAGCCUUGCAGCAGGGGUUUGCCCAGCACAGGGGCAGCCAAGUUUACUCCAUAAAUAGCUCAGUUAAGAUGAAUUGAGUUAAUAGAAAAUAAAACAUUAUUUGGAUGGAAUGAAUUCAUUUCAGAAAAGGGAGAAAUUACUUCUAAUUGCAUUAUUGAAAAGAGACAUUCAGGUGGAAAAAGUGAGAAAAACCUGAGAAGUAAAAUUGGCACUGAAUGGUUCCUUCAAGGUCACACAAAGUCACGUAACAGGAAGGAGUCAGCUCCCAAAACACCUUCCACCAUUUCACCCAGCAGGCAACCCACUCCUUUCCAGUAAAUGGGAGUCUGCUGUGCCAAAUCCUGGGGUGAAGAAAAGCCUAGAGCAAAUUCUGUCCUACAAAGAGACCAGAUUUUCCAUUUCUAUUAAGUUCAUUUUAUCUUUGUACUGCUGGGAUCCCAACAGAUGCACAUGUGCAUGCAAAGCCCAGCACACUUCUCUUUGACAUUUGCACCAGACUGAUGCUGGGUUGCUAUUUUACAAAGGAGUGGUAGGAUUUUACCUGUCUACUGUAGUCGUCAUUUGGGAACAGAAAUAUCUUCUACCCAUCAAUAUGCUGUUUUCACUCUUUGCAAGACCAUUUAUCAAUUUAGUCAUUGUAUCUCCUGUCACUGUAUGGCUUUACUGCUUGCUUCAUCAUACGCAAUUUCUACCUGCAAAUAUUGUCUGUUCCUUAUGCAACUAACAGGCUGUUCAUCUUCCAUCCCUUUUUCUACUUAGCAAACUCUUCAUUUUGUACCUUUUUUCUAAGCCUUAAAAAAGACCAUAGCCUAUCUCCAACCCCUUUCAUACACUGGUUAGCUAAUUCAAAUUACAGAAUGUUUUUCUGCAAGCCUAGGAAUGUGUCUGCAGUUUUCCAUUGUCUUAAUAAAAUGUAAUACAUGACUUCUGGCAUUAAACUCAGACAGAGGCAGAAACAAGGCUGUUACCAUCUGCUGCCUAGGGCUUUUCUCGUAGCUGUUCAGUUAAGCCUACUGCAUUCUUAUUUUUCAUAUUAUUCCUUCUGUACACACAAAGUCAAAGGUAUCUCCCAAAUUUAGAAGGUUGUUACGGACCUACCCAAUUUUAAGAAUUUGUUGUCUCUAUUUUUCCUUUUCUUAUGGUUAUAGUUAUACUCUAAGAAUCCCAUUGCCCUGAAAUCACAGUGUUUUUGGAGCUCUGAAGAAUCUUUACUGGUGUUUUUUUUUUUUUUUUACAUCAUGCAACAUGGGUUUGUUAACAUGCAACUGCAGUACACUUCCACUGCACCAGAGUACUUUCAGUAUUUUCACUCUGCUACCAUUUUCUUCACUAAAUGUGAUGGAACUUUUUAUGACUAGCAAAGAUAUCAGUGCCACCAGAAGUGACCUCUCAAUUUCUGAUCUCCGUUUCAUGACCAUUCCCAGGCUCCAUGUCAUUACUAUACUUUGAUAACAGCUUAUUUUCACCACAGUGUAGAAAGAACAUGCAAGAAAGUUAAAUGUCACGCAUGACUAAAAGCAACAUUUGAAUGUAAGUAAUAACAACACUAAGCCAGAAUAAUUGCACCGCUUUCCUUUAAGCUUUUCCAAAUUUUACAACACAGCUUAGAUAACAGUAUAAGCAUAAAUACCACCUGGGGAGAAAAAGUACAUUGGAUAAUGGAGCUUUGAUGUCAUUCUUAUACAUAAAAUUCAGAAGAUAAAAUAUGAUUAAAAAUAUGCAUUUGGGAAACAACAAUUGCAAUUAUAAGAAAUUACCUUCUAGAUUCUAUGGUUGCUCUGAAAGCAAUGUAUUUAGGACACAAUUGACAGUACCUAUGCACUGCCUGAAUACAUAGGUUGCUCCAAAAGUAAUGCCUCCUAUUUAUUUCCGUGGGAACUACGAUAGUUACAAAGAGCACAAUAACAAUAUUUGAGAGAGCGAAUUAUCAGUUACAAAACACUAUUUUUCAACACAGUCACCACCAUUAGUUAUAUAGUCCUGCCAGCAAUGACCAAGAGCCUGCAAUGUGCAUUCAUCAAACCCUGCUCCUGUGGAGGUGACACACUAUCAUUGUUGCCACUGGUGCAAUGCACCACCCACUGUCUCACUUUGCUCACAUCCUCUGUUUGGUCUCCAUACAUUUUCUGCAAGUAUCAAUGAAUAUCAAUGGUUGCCACAAAUUUGUUUCAUAUGUAUGUCCAUGUCAAACAUUAUCCUGCCAGACUGCCCCUCUGCUUCCAUCUGUCAUACAGCAACAAAAUGUAAUGGAAAUUGGUGAGAAGGUUCAACCCUUACUGCCAUAUCACCAACAUCCACCUCUGAUGUCAUGGGCCAACAUAACAAAAUAGUAGGCAUUACUUUUGGAGCAGCCAUAGCAAAAUACAGGUGAUUCCUUUAGGGCUCAGCACUACACAAACUCCACUGUGCUGUGGAGUUUGAAAGUUAAAAGAUGUUGUAGGGCUUAGAUCAAAACUCUGUUCUAAACUCUCUUCAUGGGACUUACUCAAUCGAUAUGUCUGCAGGCUAAACUCUUAAUUCCAAAACAUAUACGAAUAACAUUUUAUUAUCACUGUUUUUUAAAAAGAACCCUUCAUCUUUGCAGAAUGAAAGAACCCUGCUAAAAUACAUGGUUAAGCUUUGUUUUCAAUCACCGUCAUGCAAACUCUGUAUGCCUCCAUACCUUUCCAUACAGUCUUCUCACUGUAACCCUUAAAGGUUAUAUCCAUGUUUGUACACUAAGAUCUCUUUACAGCAAUUUCUAACAAAUUUUAGAAAUUCUGCUCUGGUACAGUGCUUAUUACAGAAUAUGCAGCUGGAAAGGAGGUAAGAAGUGUUAAACUCUCUUGGUUUACAUAACAGAUAUUUGAUUUCUCCAUGAAAGGUGGUAACUAGGGCCGUUACUUUAAGAUCUCCAGCCCACCAAUAUCUAGAGAAUGAAAAUGGCUUGUUAUUAAAAAUGUGACUGUGUAAGUUUGUUGUCUACCAUAUUUUUCUUGUUAAAAAUACAAUAAUUUUUGUUGUUUCUGUCUUAUUUGCUGUCGAGGUUGACAUUUUUAGUGAUUCUAUGCACUCUUAGGAUCAGCAUCUUUACAAAUUCAGGUACACAAGAGAAUAAGACGCUUUUAUAUUUUGAAUAAAUAUCCUCACUAUUGCCAUUUAAUCAGGACAUUAGACCUACAUAUACCAACACAGCUCUCAAAAUUUUCUGCAAAGGUCAGAGUCAUGGAAAUGUAGGCCAAACGAAAUAUUGUAGCCAGAUUAAUCCUAUGGUUAAAUAUAUGCAAAGUUAAAUAGUAAAAGAUUGAGAGCUGUUAAUUGGUAUGUAGUGACAUUUUUUUCUUAGUCAGAUAUGCAGUCUUUCAAACUUUCAGAUUUUCAUUUCCAAAGAAACAUUCUUUGAUUUACAAUGUUUUCUCUAAAAAAAAGCAUGAUGUAACCAGCACGGAUAUCAAACUGAUAAGCAGAAAUAUUGAGAAUGGGCAGAUCAUAAUAAGAUCAAGGGCACAGGACUUGUUACUGGGAAGUCACUUUUCUGAUGAUGCCGUGACCUUUAAAUUCAUGCAGUAGGAGCUCAUGUCUAACUCUCUCUAUGUUCCAAAUUAUCCAGACCAGUAGAAAAGAAUUACCAAGCAAAAAAGAGUUUUUCAAUGGGCCACAGUAAUUUUAAAAUCUUAUAUCUGUUAUAUUUACACAAAAUCAUUUUAUCGUGGAACAUUUGCAUAAAUGUAUAUUUUGUCAUCUGAGAUUUUCUGCACUUGUUAGAAUGAAAUAACUGUACAGGAUACAUUUCUGUUGUUGUUUGACUCAGUGCGUGCUAAAGUUUAGCUUUCUCCACCAUAUGACUGAACAUUUUAUUCAAAAUGCUAAGCAAAAUAUUUGAGAGACAAGUUCUAUACAAAGAGAUGUUGAGGAGGCUCCGCAGAUGUUUAAAUAAUGGAUCUUUCCCAAAAUACAAUCUUUUUCACUUAGUUGCAUGCAAUCAUGAUUUCCAUGAUCUCUUUGUUUUUCUUGCCAUGAAAGAUCCCGGGAUAUUUUUUCAUAGGGAAAGGCAGCUGAAACCAAUUUCAGGGAUCAUCAAUAUUCAUGCAAGCAUUAAAGAGGGCUGCUUCCAUAAGAACAUAUUUUGUUAAAGUUCUCGUUUCCAUUUUCUUAUCCUUGCUGGGCCAUAUUCUCUCUCCUCUGUGGUAGCUACAGUGGAAAAUUAAAAGCAAGAGUUGUGUUUGCUCUUCACCUUCUGCUACUUAUUAGGGAUCAGCUAUCUGAACACUGAAAAGGGAGUCAGAAGCCUGUUAGCAAUUUUCAACGUGAAGAGAAUACAGAUAGGGAGAAGGGAAAGUGCGGCCGCAGCAGUCCAUCUGGCUCUGCAUUGUGUUGUCCCCAAUGGCCACUGGGGAGUGCCCAGGCUACAAAGACGAGUACGUCCUUCCCCAGGAUGCUCUCCACAACACUUCACUACUCUGUAACUCAAGCGUUUCUUAUUAAGUAAGUGGUGAAUUUGUAUUUAAUAAAGCCUUGGUGAAAUCUCAGUGAAUCUUUCAUGCAGUUAUCCAGUCACACUUCUGACCUAUAUAAAAUUUAGUGUUCACACCCUUCCAUCAUGUGCACACAGGAAAUUUGUAUCUUACAUCUGCAUUGUUAAGAAUUACAUUCCUUUCUUCUUUCUUUUUUUUAACUUAUAGAUUUACUUGAUUUUCCUUAUUCUUUUGAUGGAAGUCACACUGAGCAAUAUUUAAUCUCUCAUUGAGAGUUGGGUUGCUCCAAGUUAUGCCCCUUCUGUUGCCAUUCUUUUUGGCUCCUAAGGCCUGGUCAGGAGCACCCUGAAUAAGACAAAGCCAGGGAAACAUGGAUGAGGAGGUACAUCACUAGAGUUGUAGGAGGGCAUAAAUUUCCUAAUUCGCAAGGAGUUAAAGGGAUGGGAGGUAAGAUGCAGCUUGCCUCUCUUGCAGCUGGUAGUUCAGGACAGAUGAUAAGAAAAGGGAAGCUCCCCCAUUUUGCAAGAGCAGUUUCCCAUUAAAAACUCUUUCUAUGCUGUGGGCUGGUAGUAUUUCCCAGCUGCUGCUUUCAUAUAAUAAUGGUUUUUAUCUUUGAAAGAUGCUCUUUAUAUUAUUAGUACCCAUAGCUCUCAUCUUGAUUUUCUCUUUUUACUCUUCUUUAUUUGCUUCAACUAACAAGCUAUCUAGUCAAGAACUAAUCUCUAAAAUCAGUGCUUGCUUGUAUCUCAGUUGUAUGUUUUCUGUGCUCUGAAAAUUGACAGCUUUAAGGAUACUCUGGUGUACUGGAUCCGUAUUACCUGCAGCAAAAUAUUUCACCACUUCUAAAAAUUAACUUAAAAUCCUCUGAUCCCAAGAGGUAAACAAUAGCAAUAUUUUUCCUGGUUAGAAUUCUACGACGAAUGUUAAUUAUUAAUCUAAUAAUUAAUUGAUGCUGAUUGCACACUGAUCUGAACAUAUGUAACUUACUUUUCAAGUGAUAACAUCAGAUUUAAUAAACAAAAUCUUGUGAAUUAUUUUAAGAGUUUAAGAAGAAAUUUAUAUCUGAAGAAUGUUAUCAUUUUCCACUCUUCAUGCAAAAGUUUCCAGCUCUUUUCAAUGAAAAAAAUGUGUUUUUUUUUUUUUUUAAGGUGAUGUAGCAGAAGAGCAAAGAAUAUGACCUGAAUUUUUUACGUUCACUGUGUUACUUUGGCACAUAGCCAUUAGCAAAGCAGAGGUGAAGGUGACCAUGCUUCUAUCUCUAUAGCUGAAGUGGGAAUGAAAAGUUUCCAUAGUUCAUGGGCAGAGUGUAAUUUGCCCUCAUAAAAGAAAGGUUUUACAACAGACUUAGCUAAAUUAGGGUCAGGAAAUACAGAGACUGGACAAGUUUUACAAUUUUUAAUUAAAUUUUCCAUCAUAUAAUUGUGUAAAAUGCCAAAAAACAAACUUGUUUCUCAAACUGAUUACAUUAUUUCUAAAGUUUCUGGUUACUCAGUCACGAACCAUUCUCCACAUUCAACAUGUGAAAGAGCUAUGCUAUUUUCUCCAAAGUAUCUGACUAUAGUUUCUCAGUACUAAGUACAAUUUCCAUAUAUUUCUCUGAAUUUAAAAAAGAGAAAAUUUAAAAAUGAUAAGUAUAUAGCAAGAUAGGAAUUUGGAAAUAUAUAUUCUUGACAGACUUUUGAUAUUAUUUAAGUGUCGCUGUCCUAAUUGAAAUCGCAUCUCAAACAUUUAUAAUAAAACCUACUGUGAAUAAACAGUCCUAAUCCAGCUGCAGAUAACUAGAUAUUACCAUGGAUGUAUUGGUCACUGAUAAAAAAAUGGAAAUCUAUUUUCUUCUUCUACAAUUUUAGGUUCUUCUCCUUAAUUAAGAACAGCAACUGGUAAUCAUCACUUCUGUUGAUAACCUCAGGGCAGACUGGGUCAGAUACCUGUCUAGCUUUGUUAACAGCCAUGUAUCAAGAGCCACAGUGGAUACUGAUUUCUGUAUUUCUGUGCAGAUGUUUUGCUCAUGUUUUCCAGACCACUGCAGUUUACCUCCUCCCAUGCACAGUCGGUUAAAAGCAUCAUUUCUCCUUUAAGCUGACCAGCUGGGCUCGGCUCCCACAUCUCCUUGGCUAGAUCCUGCUUGGAGGUGGCCUGGCUUCAACUUCUAGCAGCUGCGCUCUCUCAUGCUCUCAUCUGUCGGUCUGAAAAACUUCUCUAUUUUCCCACAUGGAGCCUUCUCAGAGUCCGUAUAUUCUAUACUAGAAAAUUAAGUAGGCAUGAGACCCUGACUUUCUAAACUACAUAAUUGUUACAACAGUACCUGGCAGUCUUGACCAGCCAACACUGUCAAGCAAAUCCUGAGCACAGUCCAGGAUCUGUUCCUGAGGGACAGUUGAAUGGAAUGGCACUCUUCAGAGGUCUUAGACUUUGAAUUAAUAAUAUGGAUGUGACCAGUAAUGUCUUAUUGACCUUUCAAUGACAAAAAUGUUUAGUUUUCUAGUUUAAAGAUAUGUUGUGCUUUUUUUUAAAUUAAAUUUGUAUAUUAAAAACUGGAGUUUAAAAUUAAAAUAAAUAUUUGUAAAUUAAUUUGAAAAUUAAAUUUUGUGAAUUAUAUUUUUUAAAUUAGAUGACAUCGUUCAAGCUGUGUGACUUGUAAAAUAUCACUGGCUCUAAGUGUAGGCUCAGCUAAUAGUCCCAGGCUGUGACAGAAGUUCACAUAGGAUAUUAUGAAGAAUUUCUUCAUAGAGUGGGUGGUCCAGCAUUGGAACAGGUUGCCCAAGGAAAUGAUAGAGUCCUCAUUCUUGGAGGUGUUGAAGAGAUGUGGCACUGAGGUACAUGGUUUAGUGAUGGGACUCAGUAGGUCAGGUUGAUGGUCAGAUAGACUUGAUGAACUUGAAGAUCUUUUCUGGUCUAAAUGAUUCUAUGAUUCUGUGAAGUUUCUCUUUUUUCACUGAAGUCCCAUAUGCAACUAAAAACAUAUAUUGUUGCCAUAUACUUUCUUUCUUUGUAUUUAUUUCAAGUUUUUCAUGGCUAUCUUAGUGUACUUCAUAGCUGAUAUAUUUAACAGAAACUAUAGAAAAUAUUUUGGAGUGUGCGUGUGUGUGAGUGUGUUUGUGAGUAAAUGUCAUCAAAUGGGAAGAGAACAGAAACUGAAAAAAAGUAUAAUGUUCUUUUGUUGGUAUUUCUCCAAAUUUGAUUGGUGAAGGAAGAAAGAAUGGCAAUUUCUCAACAGAUUAAUUUGUGGUCAAUGGGAAUGCAAUUGCCAACAGUGCUUCCACACAAGACCAACAUAAUUUUAAGUGCUAUAGUAGUCAUAUGGUUUGAUGUUGUUCAUGAAAGGAAAAUAACAAUUUUGUUGACCACAGCACUCAACAAACCUUGACUGAAAAGCACACCUUUGUGGGUCUUUUUAAUUUUUCCUUUUUCUGUGAAUUCAACACAAUGUAUAGAGUAACAGCCUCAGGUUACCUUCACAAUGGCCUUUUUGACUCAACAAUCAAGAUUAUAAAAUAAGUUUAAAAUAUGAUCAUCCAACUUGUUUUCAUCCUUUCUUGCCAAACAAUACUUCCCUCCUUAUCAAGGCCAAUAAAAAUGAUGAUUGGAGUGACAUUUGCUUUAUUUCAGUCCUCAGGAUCUUCUUCUGAUAGCCGUCACCUUUUAAAGAUAAUCAAGAGUGGUGUCACAAUGACAUUGGCUGGCUUCCAAGCACUCAUGGAUGCAUCACAACAGGCCCCAGAGAAUGUAUAUGUCUUCUGUGUUUAAAUAUUCACUAACACGAUCUUCCUCUUCCAAGGGUAAAUCUUCCUUUAUUCCUAUUUCUGAAUUGGUCCUAAGGGGCCUAGGAUUCUGAAAGUCCAGUCUUACCAGCAGAGACAUACACAUUCAGUAUUCCUGCUUAGAUUCAGCUAGACAGUUUCAUAUACUUUCAAGCUUGACCUUCUGGAGUGCGAAGAACUGUCAGCUCCAGAAAUUUUAAACUAUAUUUUAAAUACUUAUUUGUUCUCUAAUUCUGCAUAGAACUUUCCUGAAAGUUUUGAUAUUCCUGACAUUGCUCUCAAUUAAAUAUCUCACAAGCUUCCAGUAUCCAGGUGCUUUGCAACCCAUCCUAAAGUGCUGAAGAGUUAUGCUGACAAAAUACAAGCCAUCAGAGAACAUAUUUACACACACACACUUCCUCUCUUUACUUUUCAUAGAACAGCUCUUGCAUAUAAAAAGAAGUGUAUUCUGAGUACCUGUACAUCUAAAAUUCAUGAUAAAUUAUAGGAUUUUUUAAAGAAACAAGUAAUGAAAAGACAGAUAUGAUUAAUGUAUUUAUUCCAAAAUAAUUCUCAAAGGUCUUUUUCAAGAUUUGUUCCACCAGUUCAUUCCACACCAGUAGGCUGCAUUUGCAGAAGAAUAUAGGUUGGAGGUAUCUGCCAUAUUCUGUACACCUCCACUUACUUGGGUUGUGUUUGGGAUAAAACAGCUACAGAGAAAAUCUAGAAUGUGUUCUAAAUGCAGUGUCCGUGGGACUUCCUGUUCCAUUUUUUUUUAGCAUAAUUAAGUAGCCAGGGACACUAAGAAAGGCAAUCAUCCUGACACCUAGAAUUUUUUUUUUCUGAUUGGUUUGCUGUGUCUGGACAACUGGAAACUAGUUUUCUUAAAGCAAGUUAGAAGCAAGAAGUUAAGAAAAUCGAUUAUGCUCCUAUGGAUCAAUUAACCUAUGUGAUAAUCUAUUGCAACAAAUUAUUGGUAAAACCAGAAACAAGAGUGAAUGAAUGUUACAAAAUCUAGAAAUAUUCCUUUUUCUUUUCUGUUUUGCUGGUAAUUUGUUACUAUAGCUCCACAGUGUACAUUACAUUGAGGGACUAUUUACUUUUGAUUAAACAAGCGUUUUUGAACUUUAGUCCAACAUGAUCUUAAUUUAAGGUUGACAUUUCCAUUUUCCAUAAAACCUUUUCAUAAUUAGAUCUAUUGUAGAAAUAAUUACUUUUUCUUUGUUACUUACAUACAUGAUACCAUAUAAUUAUUUCUAAAAAUAAAAAUUAUGUGGACUGAUGUUUUUUGGAAAGGUUAAGGACUUUAUUCCAAAAGUAAUUUUGAAAGCAUAUAAUUUAUUGAGUACCUUAAUAUUCAUUCUUAUUUCUCAGAUGACUUCCAAACGGGAGAGCAAUUAUUUCUCAGAGAUUAAUAGAAUAUUUAAUGGUCAAAAUUUUGCCUUACUGAGUUGACUGUAGUUAUAGGGAAGGGAUAUUAGGAGUGUCUGCUUCAUCCAGGACGCUCCCAGGACUCCUCCUGCCCAGCUGUAAGAGCUGUUGCUACUUUUCCAUUUGCUGGUUCAACCAGUAGUAAAGCUGAACACCUACCAGAGACACACAGGGCACUUACAGGACAGGGACACAGACAGUUACACAGACCAGGUGCUGCCUUCAGCAGCAAGUGCUGUUGAUAGUAUUCUCAGGCAAAAGCCCUCCUGCUCUGGUGCUGACAGAGGCAGGAGGUCACUGGUGCAGACACACACACAAUAUUCUCUAGACUCACAAGCACAUGCAACCCCUUGAAUACUGGCAUGGUAUCUCUGUAUGCUCAGUGCUCCCAGCCAGACCUCAGACACUCUUAUUAACCCCACAGGUCUCGUACUUGCCAGCUGAUCCAGCUCAGUUCUUGCUGAAGACACAUGCAUUCACACUCUCAACCCACAGGCAUCGCAUACCUGCAGGGUAUGGGAUGCCCCCAAAAUGCCAGCAUGGACUCUGCAUCCACCUGGUACCCAGACCCAAACACACAAAAUAGAGAGUGAGGUAGCUAAGGAAGGAGUUAAUAAGAAGACAGGACAAACUUCGGUGCUUAGAAGCAGUGCUCAGUCAGACAAUUGUACUGACUGGCCCCAUUUUACACAGAACUUGCUCUUUUAUACCCAUUUCUCUCUCUUCCCUCCUUCCCUCAUCCCUUCUUCCCCUUCCCCUGGGAAUUUCCUCAUUAGUUUGCAUAUUUCUGUCUCCAUUACCAACUGGCUCCAUCACUCUCAACACUCAGGACUGCCAAGACCAGAUUGCUUGCAGAUUAUUGAUAUUCCAGUAACUGCUGUGGCUGAUGAGGUUUGUUUCUUGUCUUUGCCUCUGUUAUGUCUGUCUGCCAGGUUUGUGUCCCUGUGUUCUUGUUUAGAGCUUCCUACUUUUCUUAUUAUCCCAUUUUGUAAUUGAAAAAGUCCUUGACCAUAUACCCCUAGAGGAGCAGAUGCUCUCUCCUUCCACACAGACCUGUUGCAAUGAAUUGGCUGGAUAAUGUGUCUUUUCCUAGCAAGCCUCAAAAGGAAAGAGUCCAGAACAGUGAGCUGGAGUUUAACUCUACUGCAAGGUCCUCCAGACUUUCUAGAGCUGGGAUUACUUCAGAUGGCAAUUAUGUAGUUCGCAGUUUGAAAAAUAAUUACACCUGAAUGUGAAAAGUGUAGAUUUGGGAUGAUACAGAUACUGUUCAGAAUACGGAUAUUGUUCUGCUUAUGUAAAAUAUGUAAACAAGAAGUACGUUCCUCACAUAUGGGAGACAAAUAUGCCAUUUGUAUGUAUCUAUUGGUCAUAAACGAUAAUAAAGAUCUUUUAAAUUAA